rnacentral:rRNA from 1 species
UCGGGAAUUUUGGGCAAUGGGCGAGAGCCUGACCCAGCAACGCCGCGUGAAGGAUGAAGUAUUUCGGUAUGUAAACUUCGAAAGAAUAGGAAGAAUAAAUGACGGUACUAUUUAUAAGGUCCGGCUAACUACGUGCCAGCAGCCGCGGUAAUACGUAGGGACCAAGCGUUGUUCGGAUUUACUGGGCGUAAAGGGCGCGUAGGCGGCAAUUCAAGUCAUCUGUGAAAUCUCCGGGCUUAACUCGGAACGGUCAGAUGAUACUGCUUUGCUAGAGUGCAGAAGGGGCAAUCGGAAUUCUUGGUGUAGCGGUGAAAUGCGUAGAUAUCAAGAGGAACACCUGAGGUGAAGACGGGUUGCUGGGCUGACACUGACGCUGAGGCGCGAAAGCCAGGGGAGCAAACGGGAUUAGAUACCCCCGUAGUCCCUGAGCGGGCUGGCAAGGCGCAU